CAGUCGCCGCGGGAAAACGGAGGGUGCAAGCGUUAAUCGGAAUUACUGGGCGUAAAGCGCACGCAGGCGGUUUGUUAAGUCAGAUGUGAAAUCCCCGAGCUUAACUUGGGAACUGCAUUUGAAACUGGCAAGCUAGAGUCUUGUAGAGGGGGGUAGAAUUCCAGGUGUAGCGGUGAAAUGCGUAGAGAUCUGGAGGAAUACCGGUGGCGAAGGCGCCCCCCUGGACAAAGACUGACGCUCAGGUGCGAAAGCGUGGGGAGCAAACAGGAUUAGAUACCCGAGUAGUCCCUGUCUCUUAUAC
rnacentral:rRNA from 1 species